rnacentral:rRNA from 1 species
UUACCAGCUUGACAUGACUGAAAGUUUCGCACAGGUGCUGCAUGGCUGUCGUCAGCUCGUGUCGUGAGAUGUUGCGUUAAGUCGCGCAACGAGCGCAACCCUGUCUUAGUUGCCAUCAUUUGGGACUCUAGGAGACAAACCCUCUCUGGGGUGGGAAGGUGGGGACGACGUCAAGUCAGGAUGGCCCUUACGUUGGGCUGCACACGUGCUACAAUGCGGUACAAGGGGCACCGCGAGGGGAGCAAUCCUAAACCGGCCCAGUUCGGAUUGUAGUCUGCAACUCGACUACAUGAAGUUGGAAUCGCUAGUAAUGGCGAUCAGCACGCGCCGUGAAUACGUCCCGGGCCUUGUACACACCGCCCGUCACAUCAUGAAAGCCGGUUGCCGAA